rnacentral:lncRNA from 1 species
CUUGGGCUGCAUGCUAGCCUAUAUGCUCGGCUGGAGUGGAUUGGCUGGGUGCCGGGUCAAUAAUUUGACUGGGUGCCGGCCUAAAGGUUCCCCGGUGGAACUGCUCUAAACACCCUUCGCGUUCGUAGUUCUGUAGAAUUUUCAUUGUAACUCCAAAUUUAAUUCUGCUUGCGCCUACACGUUCGUACCGUUGAGUACUUCGAGAAUACGAUAAAAUAAUAGCUCAAAUAUGUCAUGAAAUGAUGGACAAAAAAAGUUAACAAUCUCACCUCUAGAGGCAUUUGGGUCAAUUCACACAUUUAAAAUUAAUACAAUUGUAAAAUUAAGGACUAGUUGUUACAAAGUAAGCUACCACAUAGGGUGGUAUAUAAGUUGUGGUUUAAGAGCAUCUCUAAUAGAGACGUAAAAAAAUAUGUGUCUAAUUUGUAUUUGAUGGCUAAGCUGAUAUUGAAAUAGCAUCUUUAAAUUUUUAUUUGCGAAUGGAAACAUCAGUUUUUUAUUUUUUAUUUUUGUUCAAAUGGGACCCAUGAAAAUAUGUUAUAUUACUUUUUAGUAGGACCCAGACCAAUAAAUAAAUAAGUUGCUUUGGAAGUGGUAGAAAAUAUUUAAAAAAACCAAAAUGAAUCAUUUGCCGCUGUUGUCUAAUUUGAUGAUAGCAGCUUGAUGUCAACUUCCAUCUCAGUUUUAACAUAUUGGUAGGAGGAAGAUAUGAUGUAAAAAACUAAUGUUAGAUUGUAGAAUUGAAGCCUCAAUUGAAAAUGAUCUAAUAAUGUUGUAAGAGUAGCAUUAUUCUUUGAUACUGACCUCAAACUUCGAUUGUGUUUUACUCUUUUGUUUUCAGACCCAUUAAACCCAUCCAAGUAAAAACAAUUCCAGCAAUAAAAACAAAAAUAUUGUUAUAGUACUCCCAAAUUUGGGUGGCAAAGAAAUGGGUGUUUUGGUGAAAAUGAAUUUUUUGGUUUUUUAAAUUUAUGAAUUAUUUAGGGUGAGUGGAGGACAAAUGAAUGAAAUCUUAGAACAUGGAUUUGACCAGAUUUUUGGGCUUGAUCGAAGAGAGCAAAUUAAUCAAUUAUAUUGGGGAAUUUGGAAAAAUAACCAAAUUUCGGACCCUAAAUAGAAUUCUAACCACCAUUUUAAAUUUUUAAUAAUUAUAACCACAAGUUGAUAUGAAAAUACUAAUACAUCCUUAAAAUAAAGUUUUCUAAAA